CAUGUGUUUCGUAAAGACGAUUUUCUGCAUCAUGUGGGACCUUGCAUACAACGUGGCUAGCUUUUUUAGAGUUUCAAAAUGCUACCGAAGCCAAGGCCAAGCCGGAUGCCCCCCUCCCCCAUGCAGGCUCAGAAACCUACUGGUACAAGGAGGAUGUUCCCAUCUCAACUUUGGAAAAGCCCUUAACAAGGAGAAUUCUUCAUUAUAAAUACAGCAACGGCAACAUUGUAGCUCUAAUGGUUUCAGAUAAGGACAAUUAGUUAUAGUUGGCUGCACGGUACUGUAUCAGAAAAAAAUGUCAAUAAGCAAGCGUAGUUACAAAAUGGUUGAUUUUUGCAAUCUUUGGUAAGGAAUGAGUAAUCGAGGAAAACACCACAAAACUUGUAUGAAUCAUAUUGAUGAUAAUAAAUAUGAUUGCCAUCAUGUAUUGACAUAAAUGUCAA